UACGUAGGGGGCAAGCGUUAUCCGGAAUUACUGGGUGUAAAGGGAGCGUAGACGGUGAUGCAAGUCUGGAGUGAAAGGCGGGGGCCCAACCCCCGGACUGCUUUGGAAACUGUAUAGCUAGAGUGCAGGAGAGGUAAGUGGAAUUCCUAGUGUAGCGGUGAAAUGCGUAGAUAUUAGGAGGAACACCAGUGGCGAAGGCGGCCUGCUGGACGAUGACUGACGUUGAGGCUCGAAAGCGUGGGGAGCAAACAGG
rnacentral:rRNA from 1 species